GUGUAAAAGUUGAAAGUUGAAUAGACACCAAUUAAAUUAAAUGAAGUUAUUUAUGGCAAUUGAAGAUUUCAUUCCCAAAAAAAUUGACCAUCAAUUCUGGUGAUUAAGACUGGAAUUGCCAAUUCACUUUGGCUUUUCCGUUGGCGUCGGUUUAGCUUCAUUCUUCGCAUGAGUUCCUCAAUUUCCAAGUAUAUCCAUGGCAUAAGGUUCUUCAUAUCUCGUUUGGCUGCUCAGCUUCUUGGCUGGUAGUUCACCGUUCACAGUGGGCCGUUGGCGGUACUGCGGAGUGCGGACUUGCGGUGCAUCUCACUGUCUCAGUGUACCAAAUUUCAAUGCUUGAAAGUUGAAUGUCGCUGCAAAUGUAUGGUUUAUUAAUUGGAUUUAUGCAAAUGUCUUAUUUUUUAAUGAAUAUGAUUACUUGCAAAUGUCAAAUGAUCUCUUAAAUGUGGGUGCAAAUGUCAGUUAAUUAGAUGAUCUUAGUGACAAAUCUAAUUUCAUGUCUUUUCUCUUUAGUUAAUGAAUAUUUCAAUUAACAAAUGAAUGUAAUUUUAUUUUUUUAAUGAAUAUUCAUAUUUCAAUUUUAGAUUUUAUUUGCAACUCGAUUUUAAAUUUUGGAAGUUGUUUUAAUGUGAUUUUAUUUUUAACAAUUUACAAAUUCAAUUUCGGAAACAAACACAUCAACCGAUCAACAUCAUUCAUCGACUGUCAGGUACAUAACAAGGUGCUAUUAACAAAUUUAUUAUUAGAAAUACUGAUGUCAAUGACAAUAAUGAAAGUAAUGGCGGAAAUGAAUCUAAUACCACCCAAUAGGAGACUAAUUUAACAAAUGAUCAUAAUAAUGUGCCUAAUAAUGCUCUGAUUUAUAUACCAAAUGAUAUGCCAAAUGAUGUUCCGAUUGAUUUACCAAAUAAUUGGCAAAUGAUUUUGCUUCGCGGAAAGCUCUUAUAACUCAUUUUACAUUUUAAAAGUUUUAUAAGAGGGGGCCUAUUAUUUUCAUUUGGCCUAAAGCCCAUAAAAUGUCAGAACCGAUAUUGUCUAUUUAUAGUGCUAAUUACAUUAAUGAUAAUACACACCCUUAAUACUGAGAAUUAACAACAACAAAUCCUAAGAAAACAGAAUCCAAAGCUGGCCAGGAGAACACUGCUUGUUCAAGCAUUAGGAUCAGAGCCUCACUGAUUUUCUGUCUGUAGCUGCUGUCUUUGGCUUCGAGGGGUGCUCGUUCAAGCGUAUUAGUGCUCGUUUGAGCAUGGAACUUUAGUGGCUACUGGAUUAUUCUGACUUGCAUGCUCGUUCAAGGCAUCACAUACUCAUCUUGGUGCCUCGUUCAAGGUAUCAAUGUCAGACCAAAAAACUCUUUUAAUUACUCAUUAAACUCAUUCAACAUCCAUCAUAAUACUCAUGUUUAAGUCACAUAUUCAAUUCCUUCAUUCUUUCAUGAAUUAAACCAUGACUUAAACCAAUUCCUAAACACACAUUAAGUCACCAUUUUAAACACCCAUUAACAUACUUCAUAGGAUUCCAUCACAUAAAUCACUCAUGAAUGCAAACAUUAAUUUGUGCACUCAAGUCACACCAUUAAAUCUCAAGUUCUCAAAAGGCAGAAAUAAAGUGAUCUCACGCUUACAACAAGUAUCAAGUUUUCAGGUAACGGUCUUCAUUGCACAAGUAUCUUCAAAGAUUUUCAUUAGUGUAAUUCUGUAGUUUUUACCCAUCAAUAAAGGGAAAUACAAAUUUCUCAUUACUUGUAAUUUGUAUUUCAUUAUUGUGUAAUACUUUUCCAUUUAGAAAGAACCACCUUCAUGCACAUUUUGAAGUGAUCUUGAGCGUAAUGUUUUAAAAUAAUUUUAUGAAGUCAAAAUUUAUAUCAAAUUUUGUGUACAUUUUAAUUUUCUCAAUUCUUUAGUUUUAGAGUAAAAACCCUUUUCACUUCCAUCUGUUGAAGGAUCGGAGAUCCCCAGUUAUAUUUCAACUUUCCAUUACUUCAUUCAUCAAAAGACAAAAUAGAGAUUAUGAAAGCAAAUGAGUGGUAAUAUUGUAAUUAUGACAUUUUGAUGUUCUAGAGGAGAAUGAUUCACACAUUAUGGUCUUGAAUUGUGAUUAUAAGGUGAUGACGUUCUAAAUUCAUUGAAGUAUCUGAUAAUGAAUGAUGUUAACCACCUAAUUAGAUGUUGAUGAAUGAGAUGAUCUAAAACAAUUAGUUGAAAAUAUAAAGAUGAAAGAAUCUAAAUUUUAACGGGUAACAAGUAUUCUAACAAUAUUUUUGGUUAAGUGAUCAAAUAAUUAGAUUAUUCAAGGUUAAUCAUUAUCACAUAGUGAGAUUAUUGCGAGAAAAUCAAAUUAUAUAUUUGAUUAAUAUGGGUAAUUUUUCUUAAAACAAAACUAAAUGGUAAUUCAACGGUUACAAAGUUUUCAAAAAUAUUAUAGAUGCUUGUCUUUCCGCUCUGGAUGAUUAGAUAUGAGAUAGCUGGACAAGGCUAUCUGACAAGGCUAUCUGACAUGAUAGAGUUCCAUCUCUUGAUCUGGUUCUUGUGUUUGUUACAUAUGUUAUUAAGAUUAGAAUUGAUUGCAUUAAUUAGGAAGAUUGCAAGGAUGCUACUUGGUUUUCUAGCUUUUAUUUAUUUAUUUAUUUAUUUAUUUUUAUUUUUUUUUUGGGCCUUGUUUGCCAUGUUUGUUUCCCUUAGGGUGUUUUUUUUUUUUUUUUUUUCCUUAGAUAAGUUAAACUUUUGUACUAUAGAGCUUGAGGGGAUUUCAUACCUCAUUAUUCGUCCCUUCUCUUCUUAUGGUGUUGUAUGAUGUAUGGUUCAUGUUAUUAGGAUUUGAAAGAGAAUUCUUUUUAGAUAGUUUGUCUUCCUUUUCUAAUAAUUUUGUAACUUGUUUAAUUUUUGAUAAUAAGAUUUUCAGCUAUUCUUGUGAGAGACUGUCUCUUAAAGAGACGACCUCAAAACAAGAAAUUCAUAUUUUUAUUUUCUCUUUAAUUUAUAUUAAUUGGGCUAUUUAACUCAUAUAUUUAGUGCGUCUGUUAAAGAGACCAUCAAUUACAAGAAAUCGUGUAAGAUUUUUUUUGGUAAAAAAAACUCAAAGGUAAUAAAUUCACCAUGAUAAAGAGUUAAUUCUAUUUCUAAAGCAAUGACUUGGUCUUUACCAUAAAGAAUAUGAAGUGGACAGAAUUUCAAAGUCGACGAUCCAAUCUAAGGGUCUUCCAGGCAUAAGAAUUUGGAGCCCACUUGUAAAUUGUGAUAGUUAAGGCUUAAAUUUCCGUUGGUCGGUACUUCUAGAAGACUAGAACCAUGCCAUUGACUUGGUAUUGCUUGCCUAGAGGACUAGCCUCAACCAGCUAGCUGGUCACCAUAAUGUCAAAUAUAAUCUUUUACAAUCAUUUAAAUUAACUAAUAGUGCUUCCUUUGUUCACCCUAUAUUGUGAUAUUUGAAUGAGCAUAUUUACCAAUAUAAUAAUUCUAUCAUUAAUAUUUUUAGUUAAGCAUAAUUAAAAUAUUAUAAAAAGUUAAUAUUAAUGAUUUUUGAAAUGAAACGAAUCAAAUAAAAUAUCACUUGACUAUGUUAUAACUUAUAGAUUGAGAAUAAAAUACAAGUUAAGAGUGAUUGAUGAAUAAUUUCAAAAGUCAAAUAAGACUAUCGGGACGAACAGGAGGGAGUAUUUUUUUUUCUAUUUUUUUAAUAAAACACAACUACUCCCUCCGUUCGUUAAAGAGGCAAAAAAUGUUUAUGGAAAGUAAAAAAAUUGAAUCUUUAAAUAGUGGAUAUAUUAUUUUAUUAAAUAAUAAAUUUGAUGGAGGAAAAGUGGAGCCAUAAACAUUUAAAAAAUAUUUAAAAAAACUUAGUGUAAAAAUAUAGGGCCACAACUAUUAAAUAAAUGUUUUUAUAAAGUUAGUGGAAAACAUGUAGGAAUUAUAAUCAAUAUAAAAAUGUUAAAAUGAAAUUAGUAAAAGAUAAUGUAGGGAAUAUAAGCAUAUAAGCAUUAUUAUAAUAUUAAAAUAGGGAUAACAUUAAUAGACAAUAGUCUAAAAUUUGUUAUAUAAAUAGAAUUUUUUUUGAAAGAAAUGACAAAUUGAACAACUCAAAAUAACAAAUAGAAACAACUUCAAAAAAUGAUGGGUGAUUAUGAGUUCUUAGUUUUGCUUAAAUAUGAAUUUAAAUUUCUAAUUUAUAAUGGUUCCAAAUAAGUUUCUAACUUUUUACUAUUGUGAAAAUAAGUCCCAUUUAUAUCUUUGCAAUAUUUUAACCGAUAAUUGCCAUUUGGUAAUUAUUACCUUACUUCUGUUGUAUUUUCUCUUAGAUGACAUGUAAUUGAAUUUCAAUAAGGAAAAACAAGAGUAAUCAAAAUUAAAGUAAUAAUUUUUAUAUAUGUAUUGAUGUACGUAGUUGAAAGUUAAACCUAAAGUUGUUAGGAUCAGGAUUCCAUUCAAGAUAGUAGGAUCAUGUGAUCCUAAAAAUUUUACAUUAAUAUGCU